rnacentral:piRNA from 1 species
UGGCAGAACUUAACGUCAGGUGAU